GAACCUCCUGGAUUUGCCUAAAUUAAGCAAACAGUUAAUCGUUAGUGGAGGCAUCAACCAAAACAUGAAGUCAAGAAAGGCAAUUUCACCCCGAGGAAAGGAUGAGAUGAGCUUACUGGUUUUCCUCCACACCUGAGCACCACGGGCACAAACUGGAAUCCAGACUCCAGGUGAAUAUCCAUCAUUUCAACUCUGCCGCCCGCUCAAUUGACCAUCACACAUGUAUACACCUUCCCUACACCCAUGCGACUCAUCACCCACUGUGAGGAACUCAGCCACCGUCCCGGUCCACCCCAGCCUCGGAGUUAGGCCC